GAGGUCAGAGAGCUUAGAGGUGGUAGGCACAGAUAGAUAAAAACUGGCACACAAGACCCAGAGUUCAGAUGAGUUAAUAAUGUCUCCUUUUUAUUGUUGUGGAAUUGCUAUUGUUCAGGUUUUGUUUGCUUGUGUGUUGAAACAGGGGCUUACUAUAGAGUUCUGGCUUGUCUAGAACUCAUGACAUAGACCACACUGGCUUGACUUUCAUGUGGUCUUCUUCCUCUGCCUCUGGAGUACAGGGAUUACAGGCUGAGAAUCUACCAUGGCGAGGACAGCUGGCAGCAGGUCAGAAGAGGACUGAGAGAUCAUAGAGAAAGAAAACCACAAUUAGGCCAGACUACCGACCCUCAAAACCUGCCCCAAGCGAUGUGCUGCCAGCAAGACUCCACCUCCUGAAGCUUCCAGAACCUCCCGUAGCAGCACCAUCAACAGGAGACCAAGGGUCAAGCCCUACAGCCCAGGUCCUAAUGGCUCAAGCAUCCUUCUGUAUGCUGUGUCAUCUCCAUCCACCAAGUAGCACUCCGUCAAGGGCCAGCAGCUAGCCCCUGCUUCAGAAGCUGCAAAAAAGGGUGAGCUCUAUGAACCACAAUCACAAAGGAAAUCAUUUAAUGACCUCAGAGCUAUGGUACAGAUAAACGAAGUUGUAAGAAAAUCAACCCUAAAGAGUACUCCAGACAGCCAACACCUGGAAAAGGAGAGGUUUAAAGUCACCUAAUUUAUCAGCAGCAAUAGCGGUACUUCGGAUGGCCAGGGCAGCCCUUUUCCUCCAGCCCACAGAGCACGGGUUCUGAGGAAUUCUGAGAGCAAUGGUACACCUUCAUGCCUGUGUUGUGCUGACAGAGUACCUCAGAGCCCCGGCUGGAGCGGCAACUAUUGGAAGGUCACUGAGACAGAACAAUUGAGGAAAGACUGUGUGCCAGCGUCUGUCUGCAUCUGUCUGGGAAGUACUGGGUUCUGGAGGUGGAGGGGGACAUGGAAGAGAGUGCAGAGUCUGUGUGGGGGGACAGGCAGGAGGUAGGAGUUCCCAAGAGCAGUCACUACCACAAAAGAGGGAAGCCAGGAAGAGGUUGUAGAAACUGGGUCUCCUGAGUUAUCCUGUCCUCCUGAGGAGAUUUUUGUUUCUGAGAGACGAGGUCCCACCAUGUCACCUACAGCAGCCUUGAAAGCUGUGACUUCUGUCAUCAAAAAAGAGAGUUUAAAAUCACAGUGAGAGGAAAAGCAGAAUCCCUUAGGACAGAGAGAAUGAGAUUAAGAGAUUCUCUGACCAGACAAAUGUGAGGGAAGGAGCCUUUGAGCCCUAAAGGAAGGAGGAUGCGGGGGAAGGGGACAGGAUAGGAGUUGAGGGCAGGAUGGUGGAUUUGCUAACAUGAGAUGAGGCAGCAUGCAGAGGCCCAGGCUGUGUGCCGUGCCUGUAGCACUGACUUGAUUAAGCACCUCCUACCUACCAGGUACUGGGCCAAGUGCCUGAGAUGCAUGCUAUGUUAACCCCCACAGGACCCUUCUAGGCAAUCAGUCAUUGCCUCUGUUUUACAGGUGGAGGCACAGAGAGGAAAGAUGCAUUAGUGGCAGAGUUUGUACAAGCAAAGCUGAGCUGGGUGUGGUGCUGUCUGCCUGCACUCUUAGUACUUUGGAAGCUGAAGCAGGAGAGUCACAGGUUCAAGACCGGACUGAACUUCACAGCGAGACCUCGUCUCAUAAACAAACAAACAAAUGGCAAAGUUAGGAUUUGAACGUGGCUUGUCUGCACUCU